AUCCAGUUGAACGGUCCCAAAUAGAACGAGACGCGCGUCGUGGAU
rfam:Schistosoma rodhaini strain Burundi genome assembly, scaffold: SROB_scaffold0000033